AAUGAACGCUGGCGGCAGGCCUAACACAUGCAAGUCGAACGGGUCCUUCGGGACUAGUGGCGGACGGGUGAGUAACGCGUGGGAACGUGCCCUUUGCUACGGAAUAGCCCCGGGAAACUGGGAGUAAUACCGUAUAAGCCCUAUGGGGGAAAGAUUUAUCGGCAAAGGGUCGGCCCGCGUUGGAUUAGGUAGUUGGUGGGGUAAUGGCCUACCAAGCCGACGAUCCAUAGCUGGUUUGAGAGGAUGAUCAGCCACACUGGGACUGAGACACGGCCCAGAGGCCUACGGGAGGCAGCCAUGGGGAAUCUUAGACAGUGGGGUAAACCCUGAUCUAGCCAUGCCGCGUGAUCUAUGAAGGCCUUAGGGUUGUAAAUAUCUUUCAGAUGGGAAGAUAAUGACGGUACCAUCAGAAGAAGCCCCGGCUAACUCCGUGCCAGCCGCCGCAGUAAUAC
rnacentral:rRNA from 1 species